rnacentral:rRNA from 1 species
UCUGGGGGACGCUGCCAGAAGGAAGAAGAUUGAGGGAAAGAGGAAGAAAUGAAGGGCAAAGAAUAAACAACUUUAACUGUGAAACUGCGAACGGCUCAUUAUAUCAGCAAUAAUUUAUUUGAUGGUUCCUUACUACACGGAUAACUGUAGUAAUUCUAGAGCUAAUACGUGCGUAAAAUCCCGACUCUUGCGGGGAGGGAUGUAUUUAUUAGAUAAAAAGCCAGCGCGGGUUCUGCCCGGUUUUGUGGUGAAUCAUAGUAACUUUUCGAAUCGCAUGGCUUCACGCCGGCGAUAGUUCAUUCAAAUUUCUGCCCUAUCAGCUUUCGACGGUAGUGUAGUGGACUACCGUGGCAUUAACGGGUAACGGAGAAUUAGGGUUCGAUUCCGGAGAGGGAGCCUGAGAAACGGCUACCACAUCCAAGGAAGGCAGCAGGCGCGCAAAUUACCCAAUUCUGACACAGAGAGGUAGUGACAAAAAAUAACAAU